rnacentral:ncRNA from 2 species
AAGACGCUCGGACGCGCUGAAGCGCCGCCUGAAAUGGGCACUUAGGGUGGCGCGGAGCGACUAGUGCAACCGACCGGCUUUCGA